ACUUUCCUGUGAUUCCCCAGGUAAUAAGUGACAAAUUGGAAUUUCAGCCCAGGUCUGUUUGAUUCCAGAGGCCAAAUUGUUAACCAUUAUGCUGUAUUCUCUACUAUAGUUAGAGAUCUAAGAAGCUCACCAAAUAAAUCGAUGACAACUCUGGAUUAUUUUUGAGCUAGGUUCGUAGAACUAAAGCCUUAGAGGCCUUAUCAAGGCACACCUGUUUUUUGUUCUCUAGUCAUUCAGUUAGUCAUAAAAAAAAGUCAAGGCCAAGAAAAACAACAGAGGAUCUUUGGAAGGAGACAGAAACCAACUGAAACAAGGCUCCAUUCUGGAGAUUUUCUAUGCUCCCAAAUCCCUCCAUCACAAAGGUCAUGAUCUCGAAGUUUGCAGAAUCUAACCACUGCUAGGAAUGAAGCCUGCUUGGGAUUCUCUCCCCCUCACUCUCUGUCCCCCCCCCCCCCCGCUUGCAUGCUGGAGCUCGCCCUCUCUCUCAAAAUAAAU